GCUUAUGCUCAAAUAAAUUUGUUAGUCUCUAAGGUGCCACAAGUCCUCAUUUUCUUUUUGCGGAUACAGACUAACACGGCUGCUACUCUGAAAUCUGUCAGAAGCAACUGAGUAUAGGCUGCCACUCAGCCCUGAACUACUUAUUUAUAUUACAGUAGUGUCUACAGCCCUCGGCUGAAAUUGGAGCCCCAUUGUGCUAGGUGCUACACAUACACAUAAUUAAGAGAGUCUCUGACCUUGAGCUUACAGUUUUUAAAUAGACAAGACAGACACAGGGUGCAAGGGGGGGGAAUGGCAGAGUGAGGGGAAAGUGACUUACCCAAGAUCACACUGCAGAAUAGUGAUUGAACCCAGGUUUUCCUGACUCCCGGUCCAGUGCCUAUCCAUGCUGCCUCAGAGCUUUUCUGUCCUCUACAAGGAUCUCAGGACAGUAAAGUCUGGUGUCAGCAGCCAGGCACAACCAUAUGGUGGGAGGGGAAUAGCUCAGUGGUUUGAGCAUUGGCCUGCUAAACCCAGGGUUGUGAGUUCAAUCCUUGAGGGGGCCAUUUAGGGAUCUGGGGCAGAAAUUGGGAAUUAGUCCUGCUUUGAGCAGGGGGUUGGACUAGAUGACCUCCUAAGGUCCCUUCCAACCCUGAUAUUCUAUGAACAAGGACUAAGGGCAUAUCUACACUUGCCAUUUAAAGUGGAAAAAGUUCCUUUUUUGCGCAAAAACCUUGGGAACGUCUACACUUGCCAAUGACUUUUUGUGGUGAAACUCGGAAGUUUCACCACAAAAAGAAAACCACCUCCAUGAGAUGUGUACAGCUCUUACCCUUGAUGCUUUUGCGAUGAUGUACAAGUGAAGACAUAGUCUUCCUGUUUACAGAGCUUUUAGCCUCUACAGGAUAUCCCACAGUGCCCAGGUGACCACUCCGGCCAGCUGCUCUGACGUCAGGUAAACAGACAUCCACCCCUCCCCCUGUAAAGGCCCGGGAACUUUGAAACUCCCCCUCGGUUUUCUUGGCAAGUGCUCACUUAUCAUCUGGUCAGGUGACAAUGCUUGCUCCAUGGAGCAAAAGAACCCCUGCUUGGAACAAUGCUGAGCUACUGGAGCUGAUCAAUGUUUGGGGAGAGGAGGUUGUGAAGGGUCCCAGGAUGUCCCGCAAUCACCUUCCCCCCUUCCCACAAGACCCAUCAUCAAAAUGGACAGAGCUGCACUGUGGGAUAGCUGCCUUCAUGGCGCUGCUCUCCUCAGCAAUGGAAGUGCUACAAAUGUAAACACUCUCUGAUGCCUGUGGAAGUGAGUACACAAAGCAGCACUUUUCUUUUACCGGUUCACUAUCAUGUUGAAACUGACAGCGCAAAAACUCUGCAAGUGUAGACAUAGCCGAAGUGUCAGCUUCACUCUGCAUUUCCCAGCCUUCAUCUCUUUCAGUCAACCUCUUGAAUGCGAUGUUGGCUGUUAGUUUGUAUUUAAAUGUAAAUUAUGUUGGUACCAGCAUGAAUGCAGAAUCAGCUUUUACAGUUACACCACAAGAACCUUAGCUCACAGUGUCACCUGGGACCUUGUGGAGCUGAUAGGACAGAGCCCCACAAACUGUGGGGUGUGCCCCCCUAAGGGAGAAUGGAGGAAUGUUCAGGAGGGCCUGGGCCAGCCCGCACAGGGGGCAGAGAAGGAGUGCAAUGCUGAAAAUUGUGGGGACCACAGUGAUAAGAGGCAUACCAGGGCUGCAGCCACUCGUGAGCUUCACAAUGCUAGUGUUCCUCUGAAUUCAAAGCCAUAAAAGAGAAUGAUCCUGCAGGUGCUGAGUGCAUCUCCUUUCCGCUGCUUGAUGGGGAGCAGACCUUGAACUUAAAUGGUGUGUAGCCCUUGUAUUGGUGUAGGAGCAGGAUUUUAUAAUUGUACUAUGAGAAUUAAUGUAUGAUAUGAUUUCAUCCUUCCAGCCACCCUUUUUGAAUAGCAGAAAGGAAUGACCCUCUGGGACAUUGGUAGAAAUGCAUCCAACAGAUUGCCAGUGAUGUUAAGGCAGGGACAGACCAGAACAAUCCUUAUGACUGAUUAUGGUCACCCUUUUGUUUUAGGAUAAGUUAUAAUGUCUACUAUGGUUUCCUAUAUGUAUUAUAAAUUAGGCACUCUAGUUAAAUAUACAUGUCUUUGUUUAGUAAGUAAGAGACAAGAUCUUGUAUUGUGUCUAUGUUAAGGAGAUUAGAGAAACGUUGAAGGCCUGGGCCCCAGUGUGAAUUGUUUUGAUUAUAAGAUUUAGGAAGGCUUAAUUUACAAUGUCUUGCUCAAAAAACUGACACUGUGUGUAUUCUCAAAGGUCUCUGUAAAAGACUGUUUGUGUGAAUGAGGAAUGUAUGCAUCAGGAAAAGAUAAGGUGUGAAGGCCAUUGUUGUAGCCAGAUGGUCAAGGAAGAAGGAGUGAAGAGACUUAACAACACCAGAGAACCAUCAACGCGCAUCCAUAAUGAAGGAAGGGCAGAUUGAUGACCCUGGGGUGGAGGCUGGCACUCCUAAAGACAAGACAAUUGAUUAAAUCGAAACCAGAGACUGUCCGGUUUGGCCAAUGUACAUGACCGGGGUGCCGAGUCAGGGCCACACCUUGCGGCUCGGCCCCACUCCAGCACUCCGGACUGGGCUCAGGGUCAGGGACUGCACCACGCGGCUCCCAGAAGCUGCAGCAUGGCUUCACUCCGGCUCCUACGCGCUCCAAUGGCCCCCUCUGGCGCUCCAGUGGGAGCUGAAGGGGUGAUGCCUGUGGACGGGGCAGCGUGCAAAAGAGUCGCCUGGCUGUGCUUCCACGUAGGAGCCAGAGAAGGGACAAGCAGUUGCUUCCAGGAGCCACUUGAGGGUCUCCUCAGCCAGUUCCGAGCCCAGAGAGAAUCAUACUUUGCCAGGGAGCUGUUCUGCUGAACACUGAUGUUUCUUGGACUAGAUACUGCCACCCUUAUUCAUACAAAGUAAUACCUGACUCUGCAAGUACGCCAACUGAUAAUAAUAUACUACACUAGGCCAGGUUUUGCCAUCAGUGUAGAGUUUAGGCCUGAUCCUUUAUGCUUCAAGCAAUAAGCAUGGCAUUAUAUAGCCUUAAAAGGUGGUCGCUUCCUUCCAUGUAUAAAACAAACCCAUUGAAACUAUUUCCAAUCCUUUCUCUUUUGCUGCCUCUGAAUUCACUGGUUUAAUGCAACAUGUACAGAACAUGUCUGAUUGACAGAAAUGCCUGACUGUCCCUAUGUAGCUACAGUGUCUGAUAAGUGUUCACCAAGUUAAGUGUUAUUUGUUUAAAAGACUGCUGUCAUUGUACUGUGCUUAGUGUGUGUGUGUGUGUGGGAAAAUGAAAUGUACCAUUUGUUGGAAUCAUACUGGCUAAGCCAUGUCUUCCCGCCGUCUGUCACUUUAUACGCAUCUCUUUAAUAAAAGACAAUUGGCCAAGUC